rnacentral:rRNA from 1 species
UACGUAGGGGGCAAGCGUUUGUCCGGAUUUAUUGGGCGUAAAGAGCGUGUAGGCGGUCAGGUAGGUCCGUUGUGAAAACUCGAGGCUCAACCUCGAGACGCCGAUGGAAACCAUCUGACUAGAGUCCGGAAGAGGAGAGUGGAAUUCCUGGUGUAGCGGUGAAAUGCGCAGAUAUCAGGAGGAACACCGAUGGCGAAGGCAGGUCACUGGGCCGCAACUGACGCUGAGGAGCGAAAGCAUGGGGAGCGAACAGG